GGGGACGUUAUUGGUAUCGAUUGACAUAACAAAGUAGGACUUACGUGUCGGCGGAGGCCGUUAAACUCACAACUUAAACUAACUGCAAACACAGAAUUAGCUGCGGCCUAAGCGCCGUUUAACAUAAACCCAAUUGCAGACGCCAAAUAAGCAAUUGGUUCCCUUUUUGGCUCGAACAUGCCCAAGCUUGUAAGUAUGUUUUAAAAGGCAAGUGGUACUUCAACACAUGCGUGCGCUCGUUUGUUGAAGUAGUUAAGCGCACUACACACGUAAUAAGAGUGUUACUGGACGAUGUUAACACACGGGUUCGACUCCCGUCGUCUCCAUAU
rnacentral:tmRNA from 1 species